AGUGAACGCUGGCGGUAGGCCUAACACAUGCAAGUCGAACGGCAGCACAGUAAGAGCUUGCUCUUACGGGUGGCGAGUGGCGGACGGGUGAGGAAUACAUCGGAAUCUACUUUUUCGUGGGGGAUAACGUAGGGAAACUUACGCUAAUACCGCAUACGACCUACGGGUGAAAGCAGUGGAUCUUCGGACCUUGCGCGAUUGAAUGAGCCGAUGUCGGAUUAGCUAGUUGGCUGGGUAAAGGCCCACCAAGGCGACGAUCCGUAGCUGGUCUGAGAGGAUGAUCAGCCACACUGGAACUGAGACACGGUCCAGACUCCUACGGGAGGCAGCAGUGGGGAAUAUUGGACAAUGGGCGCAAGCCUGAUCCAGCCAUACCGCGUGGGUGAAGAAGGCCUUCGGGUUGUAUAGCCCUUUUGUUGGGAAAGAAAAGCAGCAGGUUAAUACCCCGCUGUUCUGACGGUACCCAAAGAAUAAGCACCGGCUAACUUCGUG
rnacentral:rRNA from 1 species